rnacentral:rRNA from 1 species
UACGAAGGGGGCUAGCGUUGUUCGGAAUUACUGGGCGUAAAGCGUGCGCAGGCGGCUUCUCAAGUCAGGGGUGAAAGCCCAGAGCUCAACUCUGGAAUUGCCUUUGAGACUGAGUGGCUUGAGUACGGGAGAGGUGAGUGGAAUUCCCAGUGUAGAGGUGAAAUUCGUAGAUAUUGGGAAGAACACCGGUGGCGAAGGCGGCUCACUGGCUCAUUUCUGACGCUCAGGCGCGACAGCGUGGGGAUCAAACAGG